GACGAACGCUGGCGGCGUGCUUAACACAUGCAAGUCGUACGGUAAGGCCCUUUCGGGGGUACACGAGUGGCGAACGGGUGAGUAACACGUGAGUAACCUGCCCACAACUUUGGGAUAACGCUAGGAAACUGGUGCUAAUACUGGAUAUGUGCUCCUGCUGCAUGGUGGGGGUUGGAAAACUCCGGCGGUUGUGGAUGGACUCGCGGCCUAUCAGCUUGUUGGUGGGGUAGUGGCCUACCAAGGCGGCGACGGGUAGCCGGCCUGAGAGGGUGACCGGCCACAUUGGGACUGAGAUACGGCCCAGACUCCUACGGGAGGCAGCGGUGGGGAAUAUUGCACAAUGGGCGCAAGCCUGAUGCAGCAACGCCGCGUGCGGGAUGACGGCCUUCGGGUUGUAAACCGCUUUCAGCAGGGACGAAGCUUUUUGUGACGGUACCUGCAGAAGAAGCACCGGCUAACUACGUG
rnacentral:rRNA from 1 species